AGAAGCAGUUCUUAGAGAGGCCAUUAAAACCCCUGGCCCCAGAAAAGUCAGAAGAGAAACAUCCUUUAAUGGUGAUGUUAGAGGGGAGGGGCCAGUACAGAGGAAAGCGAAGAACAAAGUAAAGCCUAUGAAUGUCCCGGUGACGGGCAAACUGCAGAGCAAGUCCCAUCACCGCUGCAGCGAAG